CCUGAUAGCUCAGUUGGUAAAGAAUCUGCCUGUGAUGCAGGAGACCCAAGUUCAAUUCCUGGAUCAGGA
rnacentral:tRNA from 1 species